GACGAACGCUUGCGGCGUGCUUAACACAUGCAAGUCGAACGGAAAGGCCCUGCUUUUGUGGGGUGCUCGAGUGGCGAACGGGUGAGUAACACGUGAGUAACCUGCCCUUGACUUUGGGAUAACUUCAGGAAACUGGGGCUAAUACCGGAUAGGAGCUCCUGCUGCAUGGUGGGGGUUGGAAAGUUUCGGCGGUUGGGGAUGGACUCGCGGCUUAUCAGCUUGUUGGUGGGGUAGUGGCUUACCAAGGCUUUGACGGGUAGCCGGCCUGAGAGGGUGACCGGCCACAUUGGGACUGAGAUACGGCCCAGACUCCUACGGGAGGCAGCAGUGGGGAAUAUUGCACAAUGGGCGGAAGCCUGAUGCAGCAACGCCGCGUGCGGGAUGACGGCCUUCGGGUUGUAAACCGCUUUCGCCUGUGACGAAGCGUGAGUGACGGUAAUGGGUAAAGAAGCACCGGCUAACUACGUGCCAGCAGCCGCGGUGAUACGUAGGGUGCGAGCGUUGUCCGGAUUUAUUGGGCGUAAAGGGCUCGUAGGUGGUUGAUCGCGUCGGAAGUGUAAUCUUGGGGCUUAACCCUGAGCGUGCUUUCGAUACGGGUUGACUUGAGGAAGGUAGGGGAGAAUGGAAUUCCUGGUGGAGCGGUGGAAUGCGCAGAUAUCAGGAGGAACACCAGUGGCGAAGGCGGUUCUCUGGGCCUUUCCUGACGCUGAGGAGCGAAAGCGUGGGGAGCGAACAGGCUUAGAUACCCUGGUAGUCCACGCUGUAAACGGUGGGUACUAGGUGUGGGGUCCAUUCCACGGGUUCCGUGCCGUAGCUAACGCUUUAAGUACCCCGCCUGGGGAGUACGGCCGCAAGGCUAAAACUCAAAGGAAUUGACGGGGCCCCGCACAAGCGGCGGAGCAUGCGGAUUAAUUCGAUGCAACGCGUAGAACCUUACCUGGGUUUGACAUGGAUCGGGAGUGCUCAGAGAUGGGUGUGCCUCUUUUGGGGUCGGUUCACAGGUGGUGCAUGGCUGUCGUCAGCUCGUGUCGUGAGAUGUUGGGUUAAGUCCCGCAACGAGCGCAACCCUUGUUCACUGUUGCCAGCACGUUAUGGUGGGGACUCAGUGGAGACCGCCGGGGUCAACUCGGAGGAAGGUGGGGAUGACGUCAAGUCAUCAUGCCCCUUAUGUCCAGGGCUUCACGCAUGCUACAAUGGCUGGUACAGAGAGUGGCGAGCCUGUGAGGGUGAGCGAAUCUCGGAAAGCCGGUCUCAGUUCGGAUUGGGGUCUGCAACUCGACCUCAUGAAGUCGGAGUCGCUAGUAAUCGCAGAUCAGCAACGCUGUGGUGAAUACGUUCCCGGG
rnacentral:rRNA from 1 species